rfam:Triticum aestivum genome assembly, contig: Triticum_aestivum_CS42_TGACv1_scaffold_501233_6BL
GAUGUACUCCCUCCGUCCAGAAAUACUUGUCAUUGCAAUGAAUGUACCUAGAUGUAUUUUAAUUCCAAAUACAUCCAUUUUAAUCCAUUUAUGCGACAAGUAUUUCCGGACGGAGGGAGUAGUAU